GAAGAAAAGUCUAUACAAGAAUAGACAUACAGAGAGAAUGCCGUGUACUGACAGAGGCAGAGAUUGGAGUGAUGCAGCUGUAAACCAAGGAAUGUCAAAGAUCAACGGCCACCACCAGAAGCUGGGAAGAGACUCCUGAAGAGAGAAUGCCAUUACUAUCUCUGAAAUGGCUCAUGUUUUCUGCACUCUGUGAGAACAAGAAGAUUGAAACGAUAAGAGAGGAAGCAAAAAGUUAGAGAGAGAUGUAGAGUUCAAAUUCAUAUUACUCUAAUAUUAUUAAAAUCGCUAUUCUUAAAUAAGAUAAAUGUAUCGGCCUACACACUCAUGAAAACAUAAUAAAUAGCUCUGGAAUGCUUUAUAAAGCAUAUCUACAAAAGUAAUGUCCUCUGUUAUCAUGAUGGAGCUCAUCGCCCUCAGUCAUGUGGCAUAUUCAUGAAGGACAUCCAAAUUUUAAUUAGCUUAUGCUAAAUGACUUUAGUAUCAAUUUAGG
rnacentral:lncRNA from 1 species